rnacentral:lncRNA from 1 species
UUCCCCUUUCACCCUCUGAAGGUUUGCUGAAAAUGAACUGAAAAAGGCAGAGCAACAGGAGAAAAGGAAGUGGAGCCAGAAUCCACAGAUGUCAUUAUCCAUCUGCACACUUUGUUUACUACCCAGAAGGCAAGAAUAUUGCAUUUUAAAAGUGCCCGGACUUUUGUUCUUUCUUAUCACAAAUGACUUGGGAAGCUCCGACCACUCAUGUUUACCCCGAGUGAAAGUCCCAUUCAAAGCCUUGCUUCCUGGAGAGCUUUGAGAUUCUGGUACAAAAGGCAUUUUAUAAGCACAAAGUGGAAAAGCAUCAUUCAUAUUCAUUUGCUGCUGCGGCAUUUCUCCCUGGAAUCUUCCUCUUGUCUGUCAACAUUGGGCAAAAGGACUGGCCUCAUCUACAUUACAGAUAUCCUUGUGAUGGUCUGGAGGUAGGAAAAGGACACCCAGCACAAGAGUGAGAAGGGAAACUCAAGCUCUCCUGUUGGAGAGUCUCAGGCUUCUUUAUCCAUAAAACUGAUUGGACAUAAUUGGUGUGGGUUUAUGAUUUGUUUUGGAAAAACCUGAGUAUGAAAUCAAUACUGUGCUUUGUGCAUCUUGGCUGCAAUGAGUGUUUUUUAUGUGAUUGCAGGGACCUGUGGGAGAGGCGGCCAUCCAGAGGGCUCUCUGAGGGGUCAUUUAGAAUGCAACUCUUCUGGGCAGAGGAUGGUCUGCACUGGCCUCCACCACGCAGGAAGGCUUCCAGAGUGGAGAAAUGUCCACUAACAUGGCUUCUGUGAGGUGUGGGCAGCUCUUUUCUUGGUGUGGGGCUCUGUUUGGUGUGAUGUAAGAGGUAUCACAGGGCUUUCCUGUCCCAGAAGAUCUUAGUGGAUGACACCUAUGGGGG